rnacentral:rRNA from 1 species
GGCAAUUACCCGAAAUGCAUCCGAUCUCUUCAGGUCUCGGAAGCUAAGCAAGUUUUGAGCCGGGAUAGUGCUCGGAUGAGCAACCACCAUGCAUAACGGGUGUUAUAGGCU